ensembl:misc_RNA 7SK 7SK RNA
GGAUGUGAGAGCGAUCUGGCUGCGACAUCUGUCACCCCAUUGAUCGCCAGGGUUGAUUCGACUGAUCUGGCUGGCUAGGUGGGUGUCCCCUUCCUCCCUCACCACUCCAUGUGUGUCCCUCCAGAAGCUGCGUGCUAGGUCAAAGAGGACAAUCUUCCCCUGAAUAGAGACGGACUGGUCUUUGGUCGAGGGUAUAAGUAGCUGCGCUCCCCUGCUAGAACCUCCAAAUAAGCUCCCAAGUUUUUAUUGUGCUUUAUUAGGGAUAUGCUGAUUUGCAAGACUGUUGUCAAAGGUGAAAACUUC